AUCGUCCGCCGUUCAACUCAAGGUGAGGUGCUGGUUAUAUUGCUAAUGCUGGGUUUUGACUGUAUUUGCAUUUUAGUUGUCCAUCAAUAGAUUUUUUUGAAAAAUGGUUAGGGUGUGUGUGUGUCUGUGUGUGUGUGUGUGUGUGUGUGUGUGUGUGUGUCUGUCUAGGUGUGUGUGUGUGUGUGUGGCUGUCUAGGUGUGUGUGUGUGUCUCUCUCUAGGUGUGUGUUUCUGUCUAGGUGUGUGUGUGUGUGUCUGUCUAGGUGUGUGUGUGUGUGUGUCUGUCUAGGUGUGUGUGUGUGUGUGUGUCUGUCUAGGUGUGUGUGUGUGUGUGUGUGUGUGUGUGUCUGUCUAGGUGUGUGUGUGUGUGUGUCUGUCUAGGUGUGUGUGUGUGUGUGUCUGUCUAGGUGUGUGUGUGUGUGUCUGUCUAGGUGUGUGUGUGU
ensembl:lncRNA